UUUCCGUAGGUGAACCUGCGGAAGGAUCAUUAAUGAGUUGUCAUGGGGUUCGAUGCUGGCAGCCAGUUGUUGGAUGCAUGUGCUUGCCCUAACAAUCAUCUUCUUCCAAACACCUGUGCACAUUUUUGAGGGAGUCUUGAGUUGGUUGCCGCUCUUGGGUGAUUUUCUCACAUUCCCUUAAAUCAUUAUACGCUAUUAACAAUGUUGAACGUGCUCUGUGCCGCAAGGCCAUUAAUAUAAUACAACUUUUAACAACGGAUCUCUUGGCUCUC
rnacentral:misc_RNA from 1 species